GAACACGUGGGUAACCUGCCCAUAAGACUGGGAUAACUCCGGGAAACCGGGGUUACUGCUAAUACCGGAUAACAUUUUGAACUGCAUGGUUCGAAAUUGAAAGGCGGCUUCGGCUGUCACUUAUGGACCCGCGUCGCAUUAGCUAGUUGGUGAGGUAACGGCUCACCAAGGCAACGAUGCGUAGCCGACCUGAGAGGGUGAUCGGCCACACUGGGACUGAGACACGGCCCAGACUCCUACGGGAGGCAGCAGUAUUGACUGGGAAUCUUCCGCAAUAAAGUCUGACGGAGCAACGCCGCGUGAGUGAUGAAUUCGGGUUGUACUUGAUCCGUAAAACUCUGUUGUUAGGGAAGAACAAGUGCUAGUUGAAUAAGCUGGCACCUUGACGGUACCUAACCAGAAAGCCACGGCUAACUACGUGCCAGCAGCCGCGGUAAUACGUAGGUGGCAAGCGUUAUCCGGAAUUAGCGUAAAGCGCGCGCAGGUGGUUUCUUAAGUCUGAUGUGAAAGCCCACGGCUCAACCGUGGAGGGUCAUUGGAAACUGGGAGACUUGAAGAGGAAAGUGGAAUUCCAUGUGUAGCGGUGAAAUGCGUAGAGAUAUGGAGGAACACCAGUGGCGAAGGCGACUUUCUGGUCUGUAACUGACACUGAGGCGCGAAAGCGUGGGGAAUUGUCCGCAAACAGUAGAUACCCUGGUAGUCCACGCCGUAAACGAUUGCUAAGUGUUAGAGGGUUUCCGCCCUUUAGUGCUGAAGUUAACGCAUUAAGCACUCCGCCGAGUACGGCCGCAAGGCUGAAACUCAAAGGAAUUGACGGUUGUACGGGCCCGCACAAGCGGUCAUGUGGUUUAAUUCGAAGCAACGCGAAGAACCUUACCAGGUCUUGACUUGAUCAUCCUCUGAAAACCCUAGAGAUAGGGCUUCUCCUUCGGGAGCAGAGUGACAGGUGGUGCAUGGUUGUCGUCAGCUUCGUGAGAUGUUGGGUUAAGUCCCGCAACGAGCGCAACCCUUGAUCUUUGCCAUCAUUAAGUUGGGCACUCUAAGGUGACUGUGACAAACCGGAGGAAGGUGGGGAUGACGUCAAAUCAUCAUGCCCCUUAUGACCUGGGUUGAUCCUACACACGUGCUACAAUGGACGGUACAAAGAGCUGCAAGACCGCGAGGUGGAGCUACAUAAAACCGUUCUCAGUUCGGAUUGUAGCAACUCGCCUACAUGAAGCUGGAUUGAUCUU
rnacentral:rRNA from 1 species